rnacentral:rRNA from 1 species
GACAGAGGGUGCAAACGUUGCUCGGAAUCACUGGGCGUAAAGGGUUCGUAGGCGGUGUGGCAAGUCGGGAGUGAAAUCUCUGGGCUCAACCCAGAGUCUGCUUCCGAAACUGCUGUGCUUGAGUGUGGGAGAGGCGCGUGGAAUUGCAGGUGUAGCGGUGAAAUGCGUAGAUAUCUGCAGGAACACCCGUGGCGAAAGCGGCGCGCUGGACCACUACUGACGCUGAGGAACGAAAGCUAGGGGAGCAAACAGG